GUUCAAAAUGAAGAAUCGUAAAAUUGCCCAAUGUUGGGUGCGGUAGAGUUUCUUCAGAAACCUCUAUCUGAAGACAAACUGAGAAACAUAUGGCAGCACGUGGUUCAUAAGGCCUUGAAUGCAGGAGGAGCUGUUCCUAAAUCAUUAAAACCCGUCAAAGAAACCAUGGUAUCCAUUCUUCAGGUUAAAUCAGAAACAACUGGGGCCAAAAAUCAAAACCUGCCAGAAGCAAAGAGUUCAGCGCUUGCCCAUGGCUAUAAUUUCAUAGACCCAGAUGAGAAUCAUUCAUUUGGUUGGAUCAUCUGAUGGGGGAGGUAUAAGUGCACUGCUCAUCCCUUGAUGGUCCCACAAAGAUCAACAUCUUAGGUUACUAGAA